UAAACGGCUGUGAAGGAGACAAGUAGGCAGUACGACCUUUCAGGGAGGAAAUGCCGUGACUGAAAGCAUUUCUAAGGAACCGGCUGUUGAAAUUCACUCCGGAGCUGACCCCUGAACGAUGGAGUAGGGGGGACCGGUUGAUGACCGUUAUUGCAAAGAAGCGGAGAAGGAUGUUUCCUUCUCAAAAAAGGGUGGUACCGCGGAUCUCUCGUCCCUUUG
rnacentral:ncRNA from 1 species